GGUCAAGUCAGUGUCUUCCUAAAGUUUGCAAUUAAUUUCCAAAUAGAAAUUGUGCUUGGUCAUUUUGUUUCCCAUAGAGUUCCUGUGGAGCAGACAUAGUGAGGACAGGCUCUCUGAAGCUCAGUAGCACAUCCAUUGGGAACUCAUCUUUGAAAAGGACAAAGCGAAAGGCACCUUCCCCACCCUCCCAAAUACCCCUGCAUCAAAGUGAUGAAAGCCACGUGGCUGCCCUGCGGUCAGUGCCUGCAGUUCCUACGGACAGUGUUUCAGAAGCAGGCUCUCCUGAGGGGCUGCCCAGCCCAGAAGCCUCACUUGGCCCUGGGCUCCCCAGUCACGAACAGUGCACUGUGCCCAAAGGGGCAGACGACAUCUCUCUCUUGGAGUGCCCUGAAACGCCCGAGGCAGCCGCAGCAUCUCUGACAU